GGGCGCUUAGCUCAGCGGGAGAGCACCGCUUUCACACGGCGGGGGUCGUUGGUUCAAUCCCAACAGCGCCCACCA
rnacentral:tRNA from 1 species